rnacentral:rRNA from 1 species
CUACGUAGUGUGCAAGCGUUAAUCGGAAUUACUGGGCGUAAAGCGUGCGCAGGCGGUUAUGUAAGACAAAAGUGAAAUCCCCGGGCUCAACCUGGGAACUGCCUUUGUGACUGCAUAGCUCGAGUACGGUAGAGGGGGAUGGAAUUCCGCGUGUAGCAGUGAAAUGGGUAGAUAAGCGGAGGAACACCGAUGGCGAAGGCAAUGCCCUGGACUUGUACUGACGCUCAUGCAGGAAAGCGUGGGGAGCAAACAGGAUUAGAUACCCUGGUAGCCCACGCCCUAAACGAUGUCAACUGGUUGUUGGGUCUUCACUGACUCAGUAACGAAGCUAACGCGUGAAGUUGACCGCCUGGGGAGUACGGCCGCAAGGUUGAAACACAAAUGAAUUGACGGGG